GAUGAACGCUGGCGGCGUGCCUAAUACAUGCAAGUCGAGCGAAUGGAUUGAGAGCUUGCUCUUAUGAAGUUAGCGGCGGACGGGUGAGUAACACGUGGGUAACCUGCCCAUAAGACUGGGAUAACUCCGGGAAACCGGGGCUAAUACCGGAUAACAUUUUGAACCGCAUGGUUCGAAAUUGACAGGCGGCUUCGGCUGUCACUUAUGGAUGAACCCGCGUCGCAUUAGCUAGUUGGUGAGGUAACGGCUCACCAAGGCAACGAUGCGUAGCCGACCUGAGAGGGUGAUCGGCCACACCGGGACUGAGACACGGCCCAGACUCCUACGGGAGGCAGCAGUAGGGAAUCUUCCGCAAUGGACGAAAGUCUGACGGAGCAACGCCGCGUGAGUGAUGAAGGCUUUCGGGUCGUAAAACUCUGUUGUUAGGGAAGAACAAGUGCUAGUUGAAUAAGCUGGCACCUUGACGGUACCUAACCAGAAAGCCACGGCUAACUACGUGCCAGCCGCCGCAGUAA
rnacentral:rRNA from 1 species